CGCACAGCCCACCUGAAACUCAAAAACACUGUGCCCGCUGCCAGUGAUGGAUCAGCAGAACUUCGUUCCUGGGGCGGCAACUUGUUAACGCCUUGCAAGUGUGUGUCACACACACAUUUGCUUACGUCGACCGAUUCAUCGGGCGCGCCCGCUGCGGCGACCCGCUCACUUCAUUAUCGUUGACGAUUGUACAAACACACAUUUAUGUACCUUAUUUUUACUUACUUAUUAAAUUAUAUUACUGUUGAUA
rnacentral:misc_RNA from 1 species